ACGGGAGGCAGCAGUGGGGAAUAUUGGACAAUGGGGGAAACCCUGAUCCAGCGACGCCGCGUGAGUGAAGAAGUAUUUCGGUAUGUAAAGCUCUGUCAGCAGGGAAGAUAAUGACGGUACCUGACUAAGAAGCCCCGGCUAACUACGUGCCAGCAGCCGCGGUAGUACGUAGGGGGCAAGCGUUAUCCGGAUUUACUGGGUGUAAAGGGAGCGUAGACGGUAUGGCAAGUCUGAUGUGAAAACCCAAGGCUCAACCAUGGGACUGCAUUGGAAACUGUCAAACUAGAGUGCAGGAGGGGUAAGCGGAAUUCCUAGUGUAGCGGUGAAAUGCGUAGAUAUUAGGAGGAACACCGGUGGCGAAGGCGGCUUACUGGACUGUAACUGACGCUGAGGUUCGAAAGCGUGGGUAGCAAACAGGAUUAGAUACCCUGGUA
rnacentral:rRNA from 1 species